rnacentral:rRNA from 1 species
GACGAACCGUCCAAACGUUAUUCGGAAUCACUGGGCUUACAGAGUUCGUAGGCGGUCUGGAAAGUUGGGUGUGAAAUCCCUCGGCCUAACCGAGGAACUGCGCUUGAAACUACCAGACUCGAGGGAGAUAGAGGAAAGCGGAACUGAUGGUGGAGCGGUGAAAAUGCGUUGAUAUCAUCAGGAACACCGGUGGCGAAGGCGGCUUUCUGGGUCUUACCUUGACGCUGAGGAACGAAAGCCAGGGGAGGCGAAACGGG